rnacentral:tRNA from 1 species
GGACGAGGAUGGGACUCGAAACCACGCGGGCAGAGCCCAAAGGAUUAGCAGUCCAUCGCCUUAACCACUCGGCCACCUCGUC